rnacentral:rRNA from 1 species
CCUACGGGCGGCAGCAGUGAGGAAUAUUGGUCAAUGGGCGUAAGCCUGAACCAGCCAAGUCGCGUGAGGGAUGAAGGUUCUAUGGAUCGUAAACCUCUUUUAUAAGGGAAUAAAGUGCGGGACGUGUCCCGUUUUGUAUGUACCUUAUGAAUAAGGAUCGGCUAACUCCGUGCCAGCAGCCGCGGUAAUACGGAGGAUCCGAGUGUUAUCCGGAUUUAUUGGGUUUAAAGGGUGCGUAGGCGGCCUUUUAAGUCAGCGGGGAAAGUCUGUGGCUCAACCAUAGAAGUGCCGUGGAAACUGGGAGGCUUGAGUAUGUUUGAGGCAGGCGGAAUGCGUGGUGUAGCGGUGAAAUGCUUAGAUAUCACGCAGAACCACGAUUGCGAAGGCAGCCUGCCAAGCCAUGACUGACGCUGAUGCACGAAAGCGUGGGGAUCAAACAGGAUUAGAUACCCUUGUAGUC